CCCCUCUCAGGGUUGCACCUGGAGAGUUUCCAGGCCUCUGCCAGUCUCGACUGCUGAAGGAACAGUCAAGCAGAGGCCUAACCAUUCCAUUCCUAGCUUGACCAGCGGCUAGUGAGUGGAAGGCAAUCUGCUACAAGU